rnacentral:rRNA from 1 species
GAUGAACGCUGGCGGCGUGCCUAAUACAUGCAAGUCGAGCGAACAGACGAGGAGCUUGCUCCUCUGACGUUAGCGGCGGACGGGUGAGUAACACGUAGAUAACCUACCUAUAAGACUGGGAUAACUUCGGGAAACCGGAGCUAAUACCGGAUAAUAUAUUGAACCGCAUGGUUCAAUAGUGAAAGACGGUUUUGCUGUCACUUAUAGAUGGAUCCGCGCCGCAUUAACUAGUUGGUAAGGUAACGGCUUACCAAGGCAACGAUGCGUAGCCGACCUGAGAGGGUGAUCGGCCACACUGGAACUGAGACACGGUCCAGACUCCUACGGGAGGCAGCAGUAGGGAAUCUUCCGCAAUGGGCGAAAGCCUGACGGAGCAACGCCGCGUGAGUGAUGAAGGUCUUCGGAUCGUAAAACUCUGUUAUUAGGGAAGAACAAAUGUGUAAGUAACUAUGCACGUCUUGACGGUACCUAAUCAGAAAGCCACGGCUAACUACGUG